GACGAACGCUGGCGGCGCGCUUAACACAUGCAAGUCGUGCGGUGUCGAAGGCAAGUCUUACGACAAGCCUUCGACACAGCGGCGAACGGGUGAGUAACACGUGAGUAGCUGUCCUAAGGAGGGGGAUAACGCCUGGAAACGGGUGCUAACACCCCAUAUGCCUCGCAAGAGGUGAAAGUGUACUUGCUACAGCCUUAGGGUGUGCUCGCGGCCUAUCAGCUAGUUGGUGAGGUAACGGCUCACCAAGGCUAAGACGGGUAGCCGGCCUGAGAGGGUGUACGGCCACACUGGAAUUGAGAUACGGUCCAGACUCCUACGGGAGGCAGCAGUGGGGAAUCUUGGGCAAUGGGCGAAAGCCUGACCCAGCGACGCCGCGUUGGGGAUGAAGCCCUUCGGGGCGUAAACCCAUGUUGUAGGGGACGAAGAAAGUGACGGUACCUACGAGAAAGCCCCGGCAACUACGUG
rnacentral:rRNA from 1 species